rnacentral:rRNA from 17 species
AUUAAUAAGCGGAGGAAAAGAAACCAACCGGGAUUCCCUGAGUAAGGGCGACUGAAACGGGAGGAGCCCAGCGCAUAACCUCGCGGUCCUUUGCCGGCCGACGAGGGGUGUUGCGUUUCGGUGGAUCCAUCCCGCUCGGACCGUUUACCGCCUAAGUCAUUGCUUGAAAGCAGCCCCAAGGAGGGUGAUAGGCCCGUGUGGCGGCGCCUGUAAAAAGGGUAAAGGCGGUCCGGGCGGAGGGGUCUUCACCGCAGAGUCGGGUUGCUUAGUACUGCAGCCCUAAGCAGGUGGUAAACUCCAUCUAAGGCUAAAUACUACCACGAGUCCGAUAGAGAACAAGUACCGUGAGGGAAAGUU